rnacentral:rRNA from 1 species
GUCCACGCCCUAAACGAUGUCAACUAGGUGUUGGGGAGCGAUUUCUCAGUACCGUAGCUAACGCGCGAAGUUGACCGCCUGGGGAGUACGGCCGCAAGGUUAAAACUCAAAGGAAUUGACGGGGACCCGCACAAGCGGUGGAUGAUGUUGAUUAAUUCGAUGCAACGCGAACAACCUUACCUACCCUUGACAUGUCCGGAACCCUGCUGAGAGGUGGGGGUGCCCGAAAGGGAAUCGGAACACAGGUGCUGCAUGGCUGUCGU